rnacentral:rRNA from 1 species
GCGCACCAGGCGCGAAUCCUUCGCAAUGCGGGAAACCGCGACGAGGGGACUCCCAGUGCCUACGCUCAGCGUAGGCUGUUCCCGAGCCUAGAAAGCUCGGGGAGUAAGGGCUGGGUAAGACGGGUGCCAGCCGCCGCGGUAAUACCCGCAGCCCGAGUGGUGGCCACUAUUAUUGGGCCUAAAGCGUCCGUAGCCGGCCCGGUAAAUGCCUGGGUAAAUCGUGAGGCCUAACCUCACGAAUUCCGGGUAGACUGCCGGGCUAGGGACCGGAGGAGGGAGAGGGUACUCCAGGGGUAGGGGUGAAAUCCUGUAAUCCCUGGAGGACCACCGGUGGCGAAGGCGCUCUCCUAGGACGGGUCCGACGGUGAGGGACGAAAGCCAGGGGAGCGAACCGGAUUAGAUACCCGCGUAGU